CCCUUAGAUGUCCUGGGCCGCACGCGCGUUACACUGAUGCAUUCAACGAGCUUAUAACCUUGGCCGAGAGGCCUGGGCAAUCUUGUUAACGUGCAUCGUGAUAGGGAUAGAUUAUUGAAAUUAUUAAUCUUGAACGAGGAAUUCCUAGUAAACGCAGAUCAUCAAUCUGCAUUGAUUACGUCCCUGCCCUUUGUACACACCGCCCGUCGCACCUACCGAUUGGAUGGUCCGGUGAGGCUUUGGGAUCUGAGCGGAAAGAGCGUUUCGCUGUUUCUGCUCGGAAAACUCAGUCGAACCUUAUCAUUUAGAGGAAGGAGAAGUCGUAACA
rnacentral:rRNA from 1 species